UACGGAGGGGGCUAGCGUUGUUCGGAAUUACUGGGCGUAAAGCGCACGUAGGCGGCUUUGUAAGUUAGAGGUGAAAGCCUGGGGCUCAACUCCAGAACUGCCUUUAAGACUGCAUCGCUUGAAUCGUGGAGAGGCGGGUGGAAUUCCGAGUGUAGAGGUGAAAUUCGUAGAUAUUCGGAAGAACACCAGUGGCGAAGGCGGCCCGCUGGACAUGUAUUGACGCUGAGGUGCGAAAGCGUGGGGAGCAAACAGG
rnacentral:rRNA from 1 species